AUGAUCCGAGAUUCCAGGGGGAGAGGGGGCAGCUCUGGGCAAUCAAGUGCAAUAAAUCCACUGCAAUCACUGAAAUCUCAUCCAGUGAAUCCAUGGAAUGGGAUCCUGCUGGGAUCUGGGAACAUCCCCGGGACGUCCUUCCGGAAUUCGGGAGAAUCCCCAGGAAUUCCCUUCUGGAAUUUGGGAGAAUCCCCAGGAAUUCCUUCUGGAAUUUGGGAGAAUCCCCAGGAAUUCCUUCUGGAAUUUGGGAGAAUCCCCAGGAAUUCCCUCUGGAAUUUGGGAGAAUCCCCAGAGUUCCCUCUGGAAUUUGGGAGAAUCCUCAGGCAUUCCCUCCAGAAUUUGGGGGAAUCCCCUGAGUUCCUUCCCUCUGGAAUGCAGGAGAAUCCCCCAGAAUUUCCUCUGGAAUUUUGGAGAAUUCCCCAGAAUUCUCUCUGGAAUUUGGGAGAAUCCUCAGGAAUUCCUUCCAGAAUUUGGGAGAAUCCCCAGAGUUCCCUUUGGAAUUUGAGAGAAUCCCCAGGAGUUUCCUUUGGAAUUCAGGAGAAUCCCCAGGAAUUCCUUCUGGAAUUUGGGAGAAUCCUCAGGAGUUCUCUUGGGAAUUUUGGAGAAUUCCCCAGAAUUCUCUCUGGAAUUUGGGAGAAUUCCCCAGAGUUCCUUUGGGAAUUUGGGAGAAUCUACAGGAAUUCCCUCCAGAAUUUGGGAGAAUCCCCAAGAAUUCCUUUUGAAAUUUGGGAGAAUCCCCAGGAAUUCCUUCUGGAAUUUGGGAGAAUCCUCAGGAAUUCUCUCUGGAAUUUUGGAGAAUCCCCUGACUUCCUUCCCUCUGGGAUUCAGGAGAAUCCCCCAGAGUUCCCUCUGGAAUUUGGGAGAAUCCCCAAGAAUUCUCUUUGGAAUUUGGGAGAAUCCCCAGGAAUUCCCUCCAGAAUUUGGGGGAAUCCCCUGACUUCCUUCCCUCUGGGAUUCAGGAGAAUCCCCCAGGAUUUCUUCUGGAAUUUGGGAGAAUUCCCCAGAAUUCUCUCUGGAAUUUGGGAGAAUCCUCAGGAAUUCCUUCCAGAAUUUGGGAGAAUCCCCAGGAAUUCCCUCUGGAAUUUGUGA
rnacentral:lncRNA from 1 species